AGAACACAGUUUAAGGGGUGCGCGCGGAAGUGGGAACCAGCCGGUGGCCGCUGCCCGGCGCCAGAACGUCUACCAUUCAGCCCGGGCGUGCGCGGGGCCGGGAAGAGGCUGGAGUAGAGAAGCGAGCGCCCGCGAGUGCGUGGCCGGUCCGCGAGCGCGUGUGGUGUGUGCCUUGUGAGCACUGCGGGUUCGCUGGACCCCACGGCCAGGGCCGCGCCCCGCACCGCAGCUGUCGGGUUACCCACCGUUCGGUUUUCCGCUGUGGCUGAACACAGCGGCUCUGCCCUUGCCAGUCUCCAUCUCACCUCGGGGAUCGGCAAAUGCACGCAUCAUGGAUUCUCCGGAUGCUCCAACCCGCGGACUCCAAUGGGCGUCCCAAGACGCCCCCACACCCAGCGCGGCGCCUCAAGCACAUGGGACCCUCUCAAGGCAACUCGCCGCGCAGUCAGCGGCCGACUAGCAGGUCCGGAUGCUCCUGCGCUCUGGCGGCCUGGACUUCGCGCCCUCGCUAAGCGGGCGCGUCUGCCAGGCGCUGCUGCCACCAGCACCAGGAGCGUGCUCGGGGGCCUCCGGGAGGUGGAAACGGGAUGUGGGGGUCAUCCUGCCCGCUCCUGACAACUUUUUUUCCUACGUUUCCCUGCAGACCCAGAGCAGCGAGGUCACGGUGUCCGCGGCCUCAGCAGGAAGGACCCCGCGAUGGUUCUUCACGACUCACCCCCGCGAACAGCGCACCCGAGCCGGCGCGCACGGAGGGCUGCCGCGCGUGGAACUGAGCGGGUCCUGCGGUUGGUUUGCGGCCCUCUUCCCCCCACCCACUCACAUCCCUGCCGGGUGCGUCCGCGCUCACCUGUCAGUGCGGCGGGUCCUCGGGGCCUGCGCUUUCGACGCGUGGCGCUGAGUGCGGCCGCGGCCAGAGCCGCCGGGGCUCGGCGCGGGGUCAGCGGGACCGAGAGUGACGCGGCGGCCGUGCACUGGGUCGCCCGGUCCGCGGAAGGCGCACCGAGUGCCAGGCAUCGCGCCGUCUCCCGUUUAAAUGCCGGCGGCAGAGCGCGGCGCCCGGGGCCGCGCCUCUCCAUUGGCCAGGCGCCGCCGCCGCCGCCAGACCCGCUAUCCGCCCCCUUUCCCGGUACUGCCCCCGCCCCCCGCACCCCUCCUGCUUCCCCGCGGGGUCCCCUCUCCGCCCGCCUCGCCUCUUUGUCUGCUCCCCCCGCCCGGGCCGGCUGGGAGAGGUCACCCCAGGGAACCGCGCCUGGAAUGCACAGCAAAUCACAUUUUCCGCUCCCGUUGGAGAGGGAAGAGCGGGAGGAAAUCCCCCCGGCUGGCGGCCCCUCAUUCCUUCUCUGCCCCAGGUCUGGGCUUUCCCUGUCGGCCGCCCGGCAUCGCCUGCGUUGGUCCCGCGCUCAGUAGCGGAGACUGCACUGGGAAGAGCAAGAUCUCCGUGGGAUCGUGCCAGAUUCGGCCAUUCUUCCCCUCUGGAGGGCACGAGACUGCGGGAUGCUCUGGUCGAGCGGCCGUCGUGGCUCCCGCGCGGCCCCGCCCGAGGCCCCCAACUUCGAGGGCGCUGACCCCGGCGCCCCCGUUAACCUGGCGGGCUCGCCGGCCGCCAGCAGGAGCCUGUCGCCAACAUGACACCCUCCUCUCCUCGCCCGCCACGGGUUCUUUCAGCCCAGAUGCCGGCGGCCUCGGCUGUGAGUGUACAGAGGGGAGUCACGGGAGGAGAAUAAAACUAAAAGACCGUC
rnacentral:lncRNA from 1 species